UGGGGGAUAUUGCACAAUGGGCGAAAGCCUGAUGCAGCGACGCCGCGUGGGGGAUGAAGGCUUUCGGGUUGUAAACCUCUUUCGCUAUCGAACAAGGCCCGCUUAGGGUGGGGUGAGGGUAGGUGGAGAAGAAGCGCCGGCUAACUACGUGCCAGCAGCCGCGGUAAUACGUAGGGCGCGAGCGUUGUCCGGAAUUAUUGGGCGUAAAGGGCUUGUAGGCGGCUUGUUGCGCCUGCUGUGAAAACGCGGGGCUUAACUUCGCGCGUGCAGUGGGUACGGGCAGGCUUGAGUGUGGUAGGGGUGACUGGAAUUCCAUGUGUAGCGGUGGAAUGCGCAGAUAUCUGGAGGAACACCGAUGGCGAAGGCAGGUCACUGGGCCAUUACUGACGCUGAGGAGCGAAAGCAUGGGUAGCGAACCGG
rnacentral:rRNA from 1 species